rnacentral:rRNA from 1 species
AUGGUAGGAUAGAGGCCUACCAUGGUGGUAACGGGUAACGGGGUGUUAGGGCACGACACCGGAGAGGGAGCCUGAGAAACGGCUACCACAUCCAAGGAUGGCAGCAGGCGCGCAAAUUACCCAAUCCCGACACGGGGAGGUAGUGACAAUAAAUAACAAUACGGGGUUCUUUAGGAUCUCGUAAUUGGAAUGAGUACAAUUUAAAUCUCUUAACGAGGAACAAUUGGAGGGCAAGUCUGGUGCCAGCAGCCGCGGUAAUUCCAGCUCCAAUAGCGUAUAUUAAAGUUGUUGCAGUUAAAAAGCUCGUAGUUGAAUUUCGGGGUUAGUAGGUUGGUCAUGCCUCUGGUAUGUACUGGUCUCACUGAUUCCUCCUUCCUUAUGAACCGUAAUGCCAUUAAUUUGGUGUUGCGGGGAAUUUGGACUGUUACUUUGAAAAAAUUAGAGUGUUUAAAGCAAGCUAACGCUUGAAUACAUUAGCAUGGAAUAAUGAAAUAGGACGUUCGAUCUUAUUUUGUUGGUUUCUAGGAUUGACGUAAUGAUUAAUAGGGAUAGUUGGGGGCAUUAGUAUUCAAUUGUCAGAGGUGAAAUUCUUGGAUUUAUUGAAGACUAACUACUGCGAAAGCAUUUGCCAAGGAUGUUUUCAUUAAUCAAGAACGAAAGUUAGGGGAUCGAAGACGAUCAANNNNCGUCGUAGUCUUAACCAUAAANNAUGCCGACUAGGGAUCGGAUGAUGU